AACAGGUAUUUUUUUUUUUUUUUUGUUGUUGUUGCUCUUCUUAAGCCCCCGACCAUGCAGCCAUUGUCUCAACAUCGAUAACACCAAGAAUGCACGUCUACCUAUACGUCUUCCCGCUGAACGACAAAAAUCAAUUUUAUAGCAGGCGUGUGUAUCGAUGAGCCUCCUCUCGUCUCCACUUUUUUCUGCAUAGUGCUUUCAUCGUGAAGAUUUAGAGAGCAUUUUUUAAAUAUUAUAAAUAAGGGAUAGUUGAUCUUUUUUUUUUUCUAAAUAGAAAUUGUAUUUUUUAACACUUGUACUGAUUUUCUUUUUUUGGUAAAAAAAAAAAAAAUUUUUUUUUGAAGAUACUCUGCAUGCUCUUUUUUCUACACGGAGAAAAAGAAAAAGUAAUUUUUACUACUUUCAGAGUAAAACUGGACCAACUCGAAGUUUCUGCGCAUCUCUGGCAAUUUUUACUCCAAAAAUAGUAAAAUUUAUUAUUUCUGUAGUAAAUUUUACUGUUUCCGUAGUAAGUUUUACUAUUUCUAGAGUAAAUUUUACUAUUUUUGGAGUAAAAAUUGCCAGAGAUGCGCAGAAACUUCGAGUUGGUCCAGUUUUACUCUGAAAGUAGUAAAAGUUACUUUAUAAAAGAAAUCUUUUUUCUCCGUGUAUAUAUAUAUAUAUAUAUAUAGAAAAAAAGAGAGAUAUAAAAAAUGAGACACUUGCUGAUUGUUUGUUUUCUUGAGCUUUUUAUUUCACGCACACUGCAGUUUCUCAUCUCGCGAAGAAUGUGGAGAAGCAACUGCAAAUCAAGAUUUUAUCUUGAUGGUUUUAUUAUAAAUUCAACUUUUUCAAGUUCCAAUAUAUCUAUAAGUGGGAUUUCCGGCCUUCCACUGAAGACAUCAAAUUAUUGUCGAUAAUAAUAAUAAUAAUAAAAAUUAAAAUUAAAUAAUAAUAAUAAUAAUAAUUAAAAUAAUUAAAAUUAAAUAAUUAUAAUAAAAAUAGUAAUAAUAAAAAUAGUAAUAAUAAAAAUAAUAAUAAUAAUAAUAAAAUAAUAAUAAUAAAAAGACAAUAGUAAUAAAAAAACAAAAAAUAGUAAUAAAAAGGCAAAAAAUAUUUUUUUUCUACUAUUUUUUUUUAUAUACAUGUUUCGUACAAGUGUUAAUAUUUUUAUAUAAUUUUUUACAAAGGUGUUGUAUUCAUUUAAAACAAUUUGACUGUCGUAAAAAAAAAAUAGAUCGAAGAAAAAAUGUGGUUGAUGAACAAAUUUUUGUAAUUGUCAUCGAAUUUUUUUAUAUUUGUAAAAACAAAUUAAUAUGAAAAAAAAAUUCCAAUUGCAGAAUAUAUUGUGACCACAUUUCUCUAUAAUCCCUCUUGUUAAAUAGGUUCCUGAAUUCUAAA